GUCUACGACCAUACCAUGCUGAAUAUACUGGUUCACGUCCGAUCACCGAAGUCAAGCAGCAUAGGGCCUGGUCAGUACUUGGAUGGGAGACCGCUUUUGAAUACCGGAUGUUGUAGGCA
rfam:Strongylocentrotus purpuratus Contig78629_fixed, whole genome shotgun sequence.